rnacentral:sRNA from 1 species
AAUACAGGCAGGUCGUCCACCAGAAAUGACAGAGGAGGGGAUGGAAGAAAGACAGUGUACAGGGUAGUUGUGCUUCUGCCAGCUCCUGUGCAGAAUGAAGGCCCUGGGGUGGAGAUGCUGCUGUCCUCAGAAGAUGGUGAUGCCCAUGUCCUUCUCCAGCUUCGGCAGAGGUUUUCGGGACUGGCCCGCUGCCUAGGGCUCAUGCUCAGCUCUGAGUUUGGAGCGCCCGUGUCCGUCCCUGUGCAGGAAAUCCUGGAUUUCAUCUGCCGGACCCUCAGCGUCAGUAGCAAGAAUAUUGUAAGUGGGAUUUGUCAUCUCUUCAGAGCCCUUGCUCAGGAUACCAGGCAACCAGGAAAGUACUGGGGACCUGAGUCUCCCCAAACAGUGUCAUCCUGGAGUCGUCCCAGAGAGCUUC